rnacentral:rRNA from 1 species
GACGAACGCUGGCGGCGUGCCUAAUACAUGCAAGUCGAGCGGACUUAAAAAGCUUGCUUUUUAAGUUAGCGGCGGACGGGUGAGUAACACGUGGGCAACCUGCCUGUAAGACUGGGAUAACUUCGGGAAACCGGAGCUAAUACCGGAUAAUCCUUUCCUACUCAUGUAGGAAAGCUGAAAGACGGUUUACGCUGUCACUUACAGAUGGGCCCGCGGCGCAUUAGCUAGUUGGUGAGGUAACGGCUCACCAAGGCGACGAUGCGUAGCCGACCUGCGAGGGUGAUCGGCCACACUGUGACUGAGACACGGCCCAGACUCCUACGGGAGGCAGCAGUAGGGAAUCUUCCGCAAUGGACGAAAGUCUGACGGAGCAACGCCGCGUGAGUGAUGAAGGUUUUCGGAUCGUAAAACUCUGUUGUUAGGAAGAACAAGUACGAGAGUAACUGCUCGUACCUUGACGGUACCUAACCAGAAAGCCACGGCUAACUACGUGCCAGCCGCCGCCGUAA